CCAGUGCACUCUCCUGUGAGGUAGGGGCUCAAAUACAAAUCCUUUUUCCACAUCAGACAGACAGGAGGAUUGAACCUGGCUCUUCUAAAUCCCAGCACAACUUGCUGCACUAGCCCUUUAAAUUGGGCAGAGCCAAGCAACUUUAGCCCUAAAGGAGCCAUUUCGUACCUGAAAGAUGCCUCUCUACUUUUCUUGUUUUGGCAGAGCUGCUAUCUGCAGGAUAUAUACACACACUAUGUGUAAACCUUGCAGAAAAACUUGGGACCCACCAAUAGUUGACGCCAUCAACCCUUCUGUAUGAGAAAGCACCUUGCCAGCAGUUUAUAGGUGGGUAAUUUAUGGUCCUUGGACAAGAAAUCCUCUCUUGAUGAGCCUUACUAAUACCACCUUCUCCCAUUUUGGGGAAAAGAUUAUUGAGAGGGUUAUGGCAAAGUAGUUCUGACAAUAUCUGUAUCCCAAAGAUUUUCUAGGUCUUUUAAUCUGAUUUUUGUCCUGGGUGUAAUACAGAUACCAGUUGGCCUAACUGGGCAGUCAUCUUUCCCCACAAGCAGCUGUACCCUUUGCUAAUCUCCCCUUUUGGUUUCCUUUAUAUUAUUACUUUAAUGCACACUUAUAUUUACUUUAAUACUCUCAAGGAUUGA